rnacentral:rRNA from 1 species
CCUACGGGUGGCUGCAGUGGGGAAUAUUGCACAAUGGGCGCAAGCCUGAUGCAGCCAUGCCGCGUGUGUGAAGAAGGCCUUCGGGUUGUAAAGCACUUUCAGCGGGGAGGAAGGCGUUAAGGUUAAUAACCUUGGCGAUUGACGUUACCCGCAGAAGAAGCACCGGCUAACUGCCGUGCCAGCAGCCGCGGUAAUACGGAGGGUGCAAGCGUUAAUCGGAAUUACUGGGCGUAAAGCGCACGCAGGCGGUCUGUCAAGUCGGAUGUGAAAUCCCCGGGCUCAACCUGGGAACUGCAUUCGAAACUGGCAGGCUAGAGUCUUGUAGAGGGGGGUAGAAUUCCAGGUGUAGCGGUGAAAUGCGUAGAGAUCUGGAGGAAUACCGGUGGCGAAGGCGGCCCCCUGGACAAAGACUGACGCUCAGGUGCGAAAGCGUGGGGAGCAAACAGGAUUAGAUACCCCAGUAGUC